GAUGAAGAACGUAGCGAAAUGCGAUAAGUAAUGUGAAUUGCAGAAUUCAGUGAAUCAUCGAAUCUUUGAACGCACAUUGCGCCCGCCAGUAUUCUGGCGGGCAUGCCUGUUCGAGCGUCAUUUCAACCCUCAAGCCCUCGGGUUUGGUGUUGGGGAUCGGCGAGCCUUUCUGGCAAGCCGGCCCCGAAAUCUAGUGGCGGUCUCGCUGCAGCCUCCAUUGCGUAGUAGUAAAACCCUCGCAACUGGAACGCGGCGCGGCCAAGCCGUUAAACCCCCAACUUCUGAAUGUUGACCUCGGAUCAGGUAGGAAUACCCGCUGAACUUAAGUAUAUCAAUAAGCGGAGGA
rnacentral:misc_RNA from 1 species